rnacentral:rRNA from 1 species
AGAGUUUGAUCCUGGCUCAGGAUGAACGCUGGCGGCGUGCUUAACACAUGCAAGUCGAACGAAGCACUUUGGACAGAUUCUUCGGAUGAAGUCCUUGGUGACUGAGUGGCGGACGGGUGAGUAACGCGUGGGUAACCUGCCUCAUACAGGGGGAUAACAGUUAGAAAUGGCUGCUAAUACCGCAUAAGCGCACGGUACUGCAUGGUACAGUGUGAAAAACUCCGGUGGUAUGAGAUGGACCCGCGUUGGAUUAGCUAGUUGGCAGGGUAACGGCCUACCAAGGCGACGAUCCAUAGCCGGCCUGAGAGGGUGGACGGCCACAUUGGGACUGAGACACGGCCCAGACUCCUACGGGAGGCAGCAGUGGGGAAUAUUGCACAAUGGGGGAAACCCUGAUGCAGCGACGCCGCGUGAGCGAAGAAGUAUUUCGGUAUGUAAAGCUCUAUCAGCAGGGAAGAAAAUGACGGUACCUGACUAAGAAGCCCCGGCUAACUACGUGCCAGCAGCCGCGGUAAUACGUAGGGGGCAAGCGUUAUCCGGAUUUACUGGGUGUAAAGGGAGCGUAGACGGAAUGGCAAGUCUGAUGUGAAAGGCCGGGGCUCAACCCCGGGACUGCAUUGGAAACUGUCAAUCUAGAGUACCGGAGGGGUAAGUGGAAUUCCUAGUGUAGCGGUGAAAUGCGUAGAUAUUAGGAGGAACACCAGUGGCGAAGGCGGCUUACUGGACGGUAACUGACGUUGAGGCUCGAAAGCGUGGGGAGCAAACAGGAAUAGAUACCCUGGUAGUCCACGCCGUAAACGA